UUAUUGUGAAUAAAAAAUCUUAUCGUCUUGCAAAAGUUAUUGUCAUAAAUGUAUAGGUUUCGAAUACAUGAAUAUAAAGUUAAAAUGCUGGUAAAAGUAUUAGUUUUUAUCAUUAACCAUUUUAUAUCCCAACAAAACUGUUACCCUUACAAAAAUAAAAUGCUUUCAUUACCUAAUGUAGGUUACGUUAGGUAAUAAAUAAAUAAAUAGGUAGGGACAAUCUUACACAGAUUGGCCCCAAACUAAUCAAAGCUUGUACUAUGGGUACUAGGCGACGUUAAACAUACUUAUUUAGAUAAAUAUAUAUUUACGUAUAUACAUAGAAAACACGCAUGCCUUAGGAACAAAUAUCUGUAUUCAUCACACAAAGAAAUGCCCUUACGCGAUUCAAACUCGGGACCAUCGGCUUCAUACUUCAUAGGCAGGGUCACUACCCACUAGGCCAAACCGGUCGGCAAAAGGUAAAGAUAAUUAGGUAAAGACAAUGAAUAAUUAAACGUAUUAUAAAUUGACACCAAUAUCCAUCAAAUAGUAUAACUAGGUAUGCUAAGAGCGGGCUUCAGGCCAUUACGUCGCACCUUUAGAAUUAAACUAAUUUGACUCAAAAAGUACGACCUUUAUAUAUGUAGUUUGGUAGAACAGUAAGAACUCACUAUAUGUGUCUCUUUUUCAUGCGGUGAAAUCCCCCCCCACCCGGAAAGGGUAGCGACGCCCAUUUUAUCGACUCUCGAGCCGACUCCAAUCUGAUACUAAUAAAACCAUACGGAAAUAAUGAGGAUGCAUCGACAUAAGAAGAAUCGAACAUGGGCAAGAUAAAGUUCAAGAAAAAAGCAAAUAUAAUGUGUACUUGUGUGUAGUCAAAGAAAGUUGAAAAAUAAAGCAUAAUUAAUGGCCAUAGAAUACAGAACCGAUACACGAACAUUAAGACUAUUAAAAAUAGACAUAUAGGUUGAUCGUACUACUCGUACUAAUGUAUUUCUUUUGUUCAAUUAUAGUAUUGCAUUAAAGUUAGAUUCUCUAGAUAUAUAUUAUUCAUAGGUUCUGUAUUCUAUACGAAUUGUUUCAGUGUAAUUAUUGUACUAAAUACCGUUGACCGCCUGUCAACAGUAUUUAUUUCUACAUUACUAUCACAGAAGAUUUUAGGCCCUACAGUAGUUUUUGAAUUAGUAUUUACUAUGGACAAAUAUAGCGAAAUGUGAGUUUUUACCUAAAAUAUCAAUCUUUUGUGAACGUGGUGUAGAGUAUAUACCGCCUAAGACUGAAGUAGCUACGCGGGCAACGUUUUCAAAAUAGAAUCGUGUUCAUGGUCGGCCCAUGGUAAAAAUAAUUAGGUACACGUAGACCCGCUAAAUAAACCCCGUGGACCCACCAGGAGAACAUAUUGGAGAGACUGGAGAUAAUACACCGCUUUAAGGGCGGUCGCACUCGGCAUUGACAUCUGGCGUAUAGAUGGCGGGUGGACCUCAGCGAAUUUCAAAGAAAUAUUUAUAAACAUCCAAUGACGUCCGGCUCGGACACCAGAUCUUCAAUCUCCUGAUUCCUGUGGAGUCUCCAGGUUCCAUCCUCUCCACGUGUGAGUCCUAGGAUUUUUCGCGCUGCCAGACUCCGAUGACUCAGGCACGUAGUCCAGAUGGGUGAGGAUCGUGCAGCCUGGAGGGCGUACUCUGAAGUUCCAAAUGGCCGAAGACCGUCUAGACGUCCUAGGUAGGUACCGCUGGAGAGAUGAAAUGCAAAAAGACCUUAGCGAACUCGGCGCCGUCGACUAGAUGGAAACGGUUUUGGACAGAGAAGCAUGGCGGUCUUUGGUGUCGGAGGCCAAGAUCCACUUCGGGUCGCUGCGCCAUAGCAGUAAGUAAGUAUUUAUAAACAUACUGUACCUUCUGUGUACCUAACCCAAAACGAGAUAUUUAAGAAAAAGUCCACCCGCCAUUCUGACGUCAGGAUUGCGGUUGGACCUAUGAAAUCUUGCAUUAUACCGCACUAAAAGUAUGCAGUUAUAUGGUACAGUCGCCAUCAGAUAUAUCGGAGUGGCCGAGGUGCUCAAAGAUCUCUAAACACGCACUCUAACCUCUUGACAGUAGAGGCAUGUUCAGAUAUUCGUGGGUACCUUGGCCGCUCCGAUAUAUAUGAUGGUGACUGUACCUUCAGUGUACCUCUGUAAAUAGAAAUAGAAACCGGUGUACCUCUCCCCAAAACAAGCUAGGCUAAGCUCAUGCACAAUAUAACUGCAUACUUUUAGUGCGGUAUAAUGCAAGAUUUCAUAGGUCCACCCGCCAUCCUGACGUCAGGUUGGCGGGUGGACCGUUUUGUAAAAUAUCUCGUUUUGGGGAAAGGUACACUGGUUUAUAUUAAAGGUACACUGAGGUACACAGAAGGUACAAUAUGUUUAUAAAUAUUUCUUUGAAAUUCGCUGAGGUCCACCGCCAUCCUGACGCUUACCAUAUAUCUAAGGACCGACCUUAGGGGCAAUAACGAUAGUGCUAGUUCAGCUGUGUCAUUCACAAAUUCGAGCCAAUCGUGCUGUCUAACGCAACUAGAUGCGAUCAAUCGCGUGCAUAAUGCGAACUCAUCAACCAAUCACGUUGUGUUACUUGUGGCGUUAGACUGCACGAUUGGCUCAAACUCGUGUGCGUAACACCGCUGUACUGGCCCCAUUCUUAUUGCCCGUAAGGCCCGUCCUCAGAUAUAUUAUGUCAACGACACAGUCGCGAUUUUAAAAAAUCACAUCGCUUCUGCUACCAAAUUGUUGAGCAUAACGUUUUCCUAUCCAUAGGUUCCAUCUGUCCAGUAGGAUCCACCAUCUCGAUCCACCAGAUUGAAGAGAUUGUUACUUAACUGAUGGAUCGAGAUAAUGAAACCUACUGAAUAGAGCGGGUCGAUUGGAUAUAACAAAGUACGCUUAUAUGAAACGCUACUCCGGUGUGCGAGUGAGACAGUCAGGCCAAUUUGAACUUGCAUUUGACAGAAAACUGACUCCAUCAAACGCUACCAGUUCCAUUGCCGGCCUCUUCGCUGCCUUCUAUAGUGGUUCAAUCUUACCUUGCUUAUGAAUAAAAAGGGGCGUGCACACCGAUAUUAGAGUAAUAUUGGAAUCAUAUCAGUUAGUUGCGGGCGUCUCGCUCGCACAAAUACAUGCGUAUAAGUGCGAAAUGAACACACGAAUGACAGCUAACUGGUAUCAUUCCAAUAUUCUAAAAUUGGUUUAAUGUCAGUUGCACUUUCGAAUUGGCCUACAUAGCGAUUUCCUUAGCCUGCACACCGGAUCGGCGUGUGGGCCGGCAUCUAGCUAAUGUAAAGCCACCUCAUUAGGUGCUUUACAUUAGUUACAAAAUACAAAAGGUUAAGGGCGUUUGCUAGCUGGCGCUAGUGCACGGAGCGGGCAAACACGCGCAGGUGCCUUUGUAAGUAAAAUCAGUCGCACGCGUCCGCGCCAGUUAGCGUUGCUCAUACUGUAAGAGCUCGUUCCCACUAUGUCGGAUGUCGUGGCGAUUUUUAAUCGUACGUUCCACUGGCAGAACAUUUUAUAUGAAGCUGUUCACACUCGUCCGACAACGAUUUUGUGUCGGAUACGACAAAAAAUGUCGUGCGUUUUGCCAGCCCUCCCAGCCCGGAAAAAAAUCGUGUCGUGUCUCGCUCGCGUACGAGUGAAUAUAGCGCUGUUCACAUUUUGUCGGAUGUCGGAACGAUUUCGCCCGCGCCGCCCUCGCGGCACCCCCUCACACACCCGCGCGUCGCUGCCGCGUCGUUGCGAUCGCUUCUUAAUUCAGCUAUCAAAUUCUGAAAUAUUCAUAAGGUAAAUCUUUCCCUGAGAAUUGGGUGUACCCAAUAUCUCCUUUUUUUAACUGCCUCUAAUCGUUUCUUUCGCAAAUAAUACAAAACCACAAACAUUUCGUUGACGUUCAUCUUGUACUAAGCCUCGCUACCCACUCGAAAAAUACACGCCAGCUGCGAUCGUGCACGACAGACGACUAGUGGGAACAGUACCGCCAACACCCGAUUGAAAUCCGGAUCCGACAUCCGACAUAGUGAGAACAGCGGCAACGACACACGAUUAAAAAUCGCCACGACAUCCGACAUAGUGGGAACGAGCUCUAAGCCGCACGCCCGCUCCAUGCACACGCGCGACGUUGCGGACGCCCUAUGCCCUAAACCUUACUUGAAAGUGUGAAGGUUACUCUGACAGCGGCUAUAUCAGCUAUAAUGUAUUUAUGACGCUUUGAGCAUAGCUAGUUACGACGCCUUAAGGUAUUCUUGGCGUUCAAAAGGUUAAGGACGUUUGCUAGCUGGCGCGAGUGCACGGAGCGGGUGCACGUGCGCGGGUGCCUUUGUAGGUAAAAUUCGUCGCACGCGUCCGCGCCAGCUAGCGUCGCCAGUUACUGUUUUUCGUUAACCCGCUUCAGCUAGCAAACUAAUCGCAAAUGGUCCGAGAUUGGCGCAAUAACCAUGCAUUCCCUUAUCUGGAUCUGGAUGCACCUAUUCACCAAUGCUUGCUUUAAAGUAACUUGUCGACUCGUCCUGAUAAUAUUUGUGCGACCGUGAAGAAAAUCUAUGCCGUCACUUAUUUUUCAAUUUAUAUGAAAUAAAGAUGUUAAAUGUA